rnacentral:lncRNA from 1 species
GGGAAUGAGAGGUAUUUGAUAUUAACAAAAUCAAUGUACUGCGCCAUAUGACCAGGCUAAUAAACAAAUCACUGGUUUAUAUUACUUGAAGAGAACAGUUGACAAAAUUUAACAUAAACACUCUUCGGAAGGGAAACCACACAUGCUCACCACACACGCGCACACACACAUACACACACACACACACCACUUGCAGUUUCUGUGGGGCCCCAGAGAGAGUUUAUCUUUCAUUCCACUGUGCCCCAACCAUGCUGAACAGAAGCAGCUGGCGGUCUGAAUCCCUGCAGAAAUGGUGUCAGAAGGACUGAGCCCCACCCGACAUCAAUGAGAAUGCAUAAGUGCUACAGGCUGGAACUAGGAAACACCCCACUUCCCCCACAUAACUCCUUUGAAAGAGGGGAGCGUUGAGGCAACACCCACCAUACCCUUGGGCUGCAGGGCGCAGCUCUCCUGAACUCUGCGGUGACAUUCCUGAGCCAUGUUCCUUCGGCUUCCCAAUGUCCAUGUGAGUCCCCAGUCACCUCUCAGUUUCCCAUGGAGGGACCUGGUUUCCUGACCAGCCCUGCGUGGACACCACCCCUUUCACUGUGCACCCCCCUGCUACAGAGAGGACCCUCUCUGGUUUGUCUUUGCUGUGUGUUUCUGCCUCCUCUGAGCUUCUGGAAGUCAGGGCCUACACUCCACACAUCUCUGGGUGACUGGUGUCUCCGGUGAGGCCACCCAGGCGCAGUGGGUGGAUGCUGG